rnacentral:rRNA from 1 species
AUACGGAGGACGCGAGCGUUAUCCGGAUUCAUUGGGUUUAAAGGGUGCGCAGGCGGCCGUGCAAGUCAGCGGUGAAAGCCCGGGGCUCAACCCCGGAAGUGCCGUUGAUACUGCAUGGCUGGAAUGCGGUCGAGGCGGGCGGGACGUGGGGUGUAGCGGGGAAAAGCGUAGAUAUGCCACAGAAAGCCGAUAGCGGAGGCAGCUCGCCAGGCCUGCAUUGACGCUCGGGCACGAAAGCGUGGGGAUCGAACAGGAUUAGAUACCCUGGUAGUCCACGCCGUAAACGAUGGGCGCUCGUCGUCGGCGGCAGACAGUCGGCGGCCAAGCGAAAGCGAUAAGCGCCCCACCUGGGGAGUACGGUCGCAAGGCUGAAACUCAAAUGAAUUGACGGGG